ensembl:lncRNA
CCCCACCCCAGACCAGACCGGGCUUGGCCCCCGGCCGCGGCCACGGCCGCGACCCCUCCGUCCGCAGCUCUCCGUGCGGCUCUGCCCGCCGCAGCGCUCUCUGUGCCACGGGCGGUGCUCCCGAGACAGGCAAGGCUCUCCCCCUCCUUUCCUCCCUCCCUCCCCUGUGCCGCCGUCUCUGUCGCUGUUUACCCUUGCAAAUAGCCGAUGGUUAUCGAUGAGAGGCUCGGGAGCAGCCCCGGGAGGGACGAGAGAUUGUCUGGAGACCCUCCUGCUGCUCCCUGAGCGGUGGAUACGGCCGGGAGCGGGCAGGGGAGGCGGGGAGGGCUCUAAAUCGCUGCUCGCGUCUGCCUAGACCCGCGGGUCCGGGGAGAGGACGGGGUGUCCCAGGAGGGAGGGGACGUGAGACGCUGCCUAUGAGCGGUGACACGUGCUGGCACCUGAGCCACCGACCCCACCCCGGGGGGAUCCCAGGUGUCCAUCCAACAGGUGGCCUACUGGGCUCGACGAGCGUUGCCAAGUUGCCGCGCGUCCCGCUGACGCCAGAAUCGGUCUCAUUUCCCGCAGAGCUAUGCGAGUAUACAUUUGGGGAUCUCCUCCCGCUCCACCUUCCCCCCGGUCACCUCCAGUCUCCCAGCCGAUACCUGAUCGUGCAGCAGCUGAGAUACAGGCAGGGCUUUCCCUGUCGCCUGGUUCCUUCAGUGAUCUCUGCAGACUGCACCUCGGAAAGUAAAACCAUCCCUUCUGUACCCAGAUAGGAGCAGAGACAUCUUGCUAUGAGCACACAGGUUGGCAGAGGGCAGCGCCAGAAGCUGGCAGAUGAUUUCACAUCUCCCCCACGCCCUGCGAGAGAACUGGCGAAGCAACAUGGCGUUGUGAAAGUGGACGACAAUUGGCGAUCACGGGCAGGCAGCGGGGAUCUUCCUCGCCCACAAUGAGAAGGAAGCGGCUUGGAGCGGGGACACGGAGCUGGCACAGCGGCAGGAAAGCGGCCUCGGGUUGCGUGCAAGAGUCGGCGGAAUUUCUUCCUUUAGGUAUCCGUGCUCAGGUCCAGGGGGCACGCCUGGCUAGAGACGGACCUUCAUUGUUCGGCCGCUCGUUAUUCUGCAUGUCACAGAGGUUGCUACGAGACCACUCCCUUUUCUCCGUGCCACUAUUUGACUAAAUAUACUUUGGCUCCCGGGACGUUGCGAAUUGUCUUCAGAGCGUGGGAACCCCGGCGUGUGCCCUCAGCUCCGCUCAGCCGCUUGGCACCGCCGCCGCUCCUUCUCCCCGGGUAUCUCGGGCUGCUCCUGCCGGGCGGGGGCUCUCCUCCUGCCCCGGAGACAAUGAGAGAGCCCGGCCCAUUGUCUCGGCUCAGCACAGCGCCGCGCGUGGGUCCGGGGACGCGGGUGGCGGUGCCAGGCUGUGCCCAGGUGGGAGCCGCCGUGUGCGGGGUCGCCGGGAACCGGCUCCCCCAGGCGCGUCCUGGAGAACCGCGGGGCUCAAAAGCAGAGAACCGGGUCGGUUCCAGAAGAGAGAACGUGUUGGAAGCGCAGUCAGCUGUCGGAUAUUUAAGAAUGGGAUUUAGCCUUCAGCAGGGCCACAUAUGUAAGUGCUUAUCUAAAGAAGACAUAAAAUACAAUCAGCUUUGGAAAAAUUCAUGAUUCAGCAAAAAUAAAGGGAGUAAUAUAUUUACCCGGAGAUGCA